rnacentral:lncRNA from 1 species
GUAGGUGCCCCGGGGCACAGGCAAGCGGACGAGCCAGUUAUCCCUCAGAGCUCCUGCUGCCUCGCCCGCUUUCUCUCGGAAACGUGAAGUGUGGCCUCAGCUGAAAGUGAGGUGGGCCUCAUUCAAUCAGUUGAAUUCUUCAAGAGAGAAAAACUGAAGUCCCUUAGAAGGAAAGAGUUCUGCCUUCAGACUGUCUUUGAACUUAAGACUGUAGCGUCGACUCCUGCCGGAAUUUCCAGCCUGCUGGCCAGCUCUGCAGAUUCACACUUGCCAGCCUCCACAAUCGCAGCUGAGGCGGAGGAACCCUAAGGGCUCAUUGAGAUCAUGGAUUUGCCCUUCUAUGCAUUGAUGGAGCACCUGCUGCCCACAGCGUCUGUAUUUGGUGCUGGGAUGCUGAGCCUCCUUCUUUAUGAAUUUUUAAAAGGACACUGAGAUCUUCAAACAGAGGCUGCCACUCUAAGCAAACAGAUCCCGAGCCCUGGACUCUGAAGCUUGGGCCCAGUUCUCCUUUUCUCCGGGUUUCAGAUCCCACUGUGAAGUGAGGGGGCCCUUCUGAUUCAGGACCCGGGGAAGCCAGGGGCAUGAGCAUCGGUGCCUCUUCUCUAUUUCAAGGACCCUUCUGGGUGUAAAGUUCUCUGAGAUGCCUUACAUGGAUUCCCACCACUGCAAGAUAACCAUCGUGCAGCACAUAAAUUGAGCUCCCGGUGACCUCCAGGAGAGAGAGAUCACCAGGGAGAGAAUUGCUGGUGCACCCGCGGGUUGCUGGCAGUGAGAAGCACGGAGCGCGGCAGGGAGAGGGACCGGCAUGAGGACUCCUUGGAGCCCUUAAGAAAG